rnacentral:rRNA from 1 species
CAGUAGCCGCGGUAAUACGUAGGUGGCAAGCGUUGUCCGGAAUUAUUGGGCGUAAAGGGCUCGCAGGCGGUUUCUUAAGUCUGAUGUGAAAGCCCCCGGCUCAACCGGGGAGGGUCAUUGGAAACUGGGAAACUUGAGUGCAGAAGAGGAGAGUGGAAUUCCACGUGUAGCGGUGAAAUGCGUAGAGAUGUGGAGGAACACCAAUGGCGAGGGCGACUCUCUGGUCUGUAACUGACGCUGAGGAGCGAAAGCGUGGGGAGCGAACAGGAUUAGAUACCCCCGUAGUCCCUGUCUCUUAUAC